rnacentral:lncRNA from 1 species
CCAGUCUUUACAAAGUGGUUUGAGCCUCCUACCAUCAAAAUUGACUGAAAGAGAGGAUGUUUACCUUUGUCACAGGGGAUGGGCCAUUACCAUUGUGACGUCGGCGCCCAUGGGUACUCUCCCUUUUCGAAACGUUUUGAAAGACAAUGCAACCGUCCCAAUGGAAUAUUAUUGAAGCCCUGGUUGAAAAAGCCCCUAAAGAUUUAUGUUAUACAACGUUUGACAUGUUUGAACGAACUUAAAUAUAUUUUUUUUGCUCAUUCCUGACGACAAGUCAGACACACACGGUACAUUUUCACUAGCCUUCGGAGCGCGCUAACACUAUUGGGACAUAAAUUAUUUGUUAUGGACCUGGGAUUCCUAGAAGUGCCUUCUGAUAAAGAUAAUCAAAGGAGUGUCAUCUGAUGAAGGUUGUCAAAGGACCUGCUCCCUAGGACCAUGUCUCAGGACUACUUGGCCUGAUGACUCCUUGCUGUCCCCAGUCCACCUGACCGUGCUGUUGCUCCAGUUCUGUUCUUCCUGUGGCUAUGGAACCCUGACCUGUUCACCGGAUGUGCUACCUGUACCAGACCUGCUGUUUUCAACUCUCUAGAGACAGCAGGAGCGAUAGAGAUACUCUGAAUGAUUGGCUAUGAAAAGCCAACUGACAUUUACUCCUGAGGUGCUGACCUGUUGCACCCUCGACAACCACUGUGAUUAUUAUUAUUUGACCCUGCUGGUCAUCUAUGAACAUUUGAACAUCUUGGCCAUGUUCUGUUAUAAUUUCCACUCGGCACAGCCAGAAGAGAACUGGCCACCCCUCAUAGCCUGGUUCCUCUCUAGGUUUCUUCCUAGGUUCUGGCCUUUCUAGGGAGCUUUUCCUAGCCACCGUGCUUCUACACCUGCAUUGCUUGCUGUUUGGGGUUUUAGGCUGGGUUUCUGUAUAGCACUUUGUGACAUCAGCUGAUGUAAAAGGGGCUUUAUAUAUAAAUGUGAUUGAUUGUAGCACAGAGAAUUUUCGACCAACCUUAGUUUGGCGAUACUGUCUUCGUCCUCGAUUCAGGAGUCUCAUGAAAUGUUUAUGUCCAGUUACAGGGGGCCCGUUUGAAUUUCGAAAACGCUCAGUUAUUAAAAGAAAAUACUUUUUUGCUCAACCGUGAAUUAAUCCGAAAAUGUGUACGCCGCCAUCUUGUCUAUUUCAACUCUUCUCUCAUUGAUCGAGAUAUGUGGGUGUCCACCACAAAGGGCCGGUGGCAGCGUACACAUUGUUGGAUUACUUCAUGAAGCAAAUAUUUUUAUUUUUAACUGAUCCCCUGCAACUGGACAUGGACAUUUUAUGAGACUCCUGUUUCCCAUGAAUUGAGGACGAAGACAUCAUUGCCAAGCUAAGGUUGGUCAAAAAUUAUCUGCUGCACCAAACAGUAUCUAACGAAAAAUAUUUAGUUAAAUCACAUUAUCUGGUGUAACAGUCUGUAGCUAAGAGAACUGGUGCUCAACAGAUGAUGGGAGAGGUGGUCAUGAUGAAAUUGCCAUUCACAAAGAAACAUACAGUAAGAAAAUACAGUAUGAUCAGUGUAGUAAAAUUCAGGGAAUACUUGUACAGCUGUGUGACUUAGCAGCCGCUGCUGUGUUGUAUGUCUGAGGUGUAAAUUGCAGACAUCUGUUGAUCAGCAAAUGAUGGGAGGGAGGUAGUCACGAUCAAACUGCCAUUCAGCUCCACCUGAGUCAUCUUCUCCUUGAAAUCCAGCAUAAUGUCCAAUCAAUCAAGAGGGAUACGGUUCUGCUACAAUAACACACGCAGGCAAUUAUGUAUGUUUCUCUCUAUCUAGAAUCCACUACAGGAAGAAGCCCAGGCACCACACGGUAUUGUUUGUAAGACAAAAACAGAUACAAAAUAAUACUCUAUUGUCGUGACUUGACUUUAACAUUAACCUGAAGACUGUCAUUUAUCUAAUUAACGCUUUCACACAUACCAUCACAUGGGUGUGAUCGUUCUACAGUGGUCCCUGAAGCGUACGACCACACCGUGUGAUUAGAACGCUUAUUUAGAACGCUUAUUUAGCAGGGCCAGUUUCGAAUGACCAAACAAUCAGCAUUUGAGAUGGCCACAUUAUUUUCAGAAACUAUUUACACAAACACAGUCCUUACAACGUAAUGUCCAGAAUGUGAGCAGUUUUUUGGGGAUGCGAUGUUCAGAUAUUCACAGAAGUAUCUAUAGCAUAACACAAUCAUCCAAACCAGAAAAAUGUAGGCUACAUUUAUCCUAGCGCUAACUGAGGAAAGAUUGACGUAACACAAGCAGUCAUCUUUUACAACUCUCGGCUGACUUAACCUGUUAGGGCUAGGGGGCAGUAUUUGCACGGCUGGAUAAAAAAAAUGUACCCGAUUUAAUCUGGUUACUAAUCCUACCCAGUAACUAGAAUAUGCAUAUACUUAUUAUAUAUGGAUAGAAAACACUCUAAAGUUUCUAAAACUGUUUGAAUGGUGUCUGUGAGUAUAACAGAACUCAUUUGGCAGGCAAAACCCUGAGACAUUUUCUG